CUUAGUACCCGGAGGAAGAGAAAGAAAAUUCGAUUCCCUUAGUAGCGGCGAGCGAAACGGGAAGAGCCCAAACCAACAAGCUUGCUUGUUGGGGUUGUAGGACACUCUAUACGGAGUUACAAAGGACGACAUUAGACGAAUCAUCUGGAAAGAUGAAUCAAAGAAGGUAAUAAUCCUGUAGUCGAAAAUGUUGUCUCUCUUGAGUGGAUCCUGAGUACGACGGAGCACGUGAAAUUCCGUCGGAAUCUGGGAGGACCAUCUCCUAAGGCUAAAUACUCUCUAGUGACCGAUAGUGAACCAGUACCGUGAGGGAAAGGUGAAAAGCACCCCGGAAGGGGAGUGAAAUAGAACCUGAAACCGUGUGCUUACAAGUAGUCAGAGCCCGUUAAUGGGUGAUGGCGUGCCUUUUGUAGAAUGAACCGGCGAGUUACGAUUUGAUGCAAGGUUAAGCAGUAAAUGUGGAGCCGUAGCGAAAGCGAGUCUGAAUAGGGCGUUUAGUAUUUGGUCGUAGACCCGAAACCAGGUGAUCUACCCUUGGUCAGGUUGAAGUUCAGGUAACACUGAAUGGAGGACCGAACCGACUUACGUUGAAAAGUGAGCGGAUGAACUGAGGGUAGCGGAGAAAUUCCAAUCGAACCUGGAGAUAGCUGGUUCUCUCCGAAAUAGCUUUAGGGCUAGCCUCAAGUGAUGAUUAUUGGAGGUAGAGCACUGUUUGGACGAGGGGCCCCUCUCGGGUUACCGAAUUCAGACAAACUCCGAAUGCCAAUUAAUUUAACUUGGGAGUCAGAACAUGGGUGAUAAGGUCCGUGUUCGAAAGGGAAACAGCCCAGACCACCAGCUAAGGUCCCAAAAUAUAUGUUAAGUGGAAAAGGAUGUGGCGUUGCCCAGACAACUAGGAUGUUGGCUUAGAAGCAGCCAUCAUUUAAAGAGUGCGUAAUAGCUCACUAGUCGAGUGACACUGCGCCGAAAAUGUACCGGGGCUAAACAUAUUACCGAAGCUGUGGAUUGUCCUUUGGACAAUGGUAGGAGAGCGUUCUAAGGGCGUUGAAGCAUGAUCGUAAGGACAUGUGGAGCGCUUAGAAGUGAGAAUGCCGGUGUGAGUAGCGAAAGACGGGUGAGAAUCCCGUCCACCGAUUGACUAAGGUUUCCAGAGGAAGGCUCGUCCGCUCUGGGUUAGUCGGGUCCUAAGCUGAGGCCGACAGGCGUAGGCGAUGGAUAACAGGUUGAUAUUCCUGUACCACCUAUAAUCGUUUUAAUCGAUGGGGGGACGCAGUAGGAUAGGCGAAGCGUGCGAUUGGAUUGCACGUCUAAGCAGUAAGGCUGAGUAUUAGGCAAAUCCGGUACUCGUUAAGGCUGAGCUGUGAUGGGGAGAAGACAUUGAGUCUUCGAGUCGUUGAUUUCACACUGCCGAGAAAAGCCUCUAGAUAGAAAAUAGGUGCCCGUACCGCAAACCGACACAGGUAGUCAAGAUGAGAAUUCUAAGGUGAGCGAGCGAACUCUCGUUAAGGAACUCGGCAAAAUGACCCCGUAACUUCGGGAGAAGGGGUGCUCUUUAGGGUUAACGCCCAGAAGAGCCGCAGUGAAUAGGCCCAAGCGACUGUUUAUCAAAAACACAGGUCUCUGCUAAACCGUAAGGUGAUGUAUAGGGGCUGACGCCUGCCCGGUGCUGGAAGGUUAAGAGGAGUGGUUAGCUUCUGCGAAGCUACGAAUCGAAGCCCCAGUAAACGGCGGCCGUAACUAUAACGGUCCUAAGGUAGCGAAAUUCCUUGUCGGGUAAGUUCCGACCCGCACGAAAGGCGUAACGAUUUGGGCACUGUCUCAACGAGAGACUCGGUGAAAUCAUAGUACCUGUGAAGAUGCAGGUUACCCGCGACAGGACGGAAAGACCCCGUGGAGCUUUACUGUAGCCUGAUAUUGAAAUUCGGCACAGCUUGUACAGGAUAGGUAGGAGCCUUUGAAACGUGAGCGCUAGCUUACGUGGAGGCGCUGGUGGGAUACUACCCUAGCUGUGUUGGCUUUCUAACCCGCACCACUUAUCGUGGUGGGAGACAGUGUCAAGCGGGCAGUUUGACUGGGGCGGUCGCCUCCUAAAAGGUAACGGAGGCGCUCAAAGGUUCCCUCAGAAUGGUUGGAAAUCAUUCAUAGAGUGUAAAGGCAUAAGGGAGCUUGACUGCGAGACCUACAAGUCGAGCAGGGUCGAAAGACGGACUUAGUGAUCCGGUGGUUCCGCAUGGAAGGGCCAUCGCUCAACGGAUAAAAGCUACCCCGGGGAUAACAGGCUUAUCUCCCCCAAGAGUUCACAUCGACGGGGAGGUUUGGCACCUCGAUGUCGGCUCAUCGCAUCCUGGGGCUGUAGUCGGUCCCAAGGGUUGGGCUGUUCGCCCAUUAAAGCGGUACGCGAGCUGGGUUCAGAACGUCGUGAGACAGUUCGGUCCCUAUCCGUCGUGGGCGUAGGAAAUUUGAGAGGAGCUGUCCUUAGUACGAGAGGACCGGGAUGGACAUACCUCUGGUGUACCAGUUGUCGUGCCAACGGCAUAGCUGGGUAGCUAUGUGUGGACGGGAUAAGUGCUGAAAGCAUCUAAGCAUGAAGCCCCCCUCAAGAUGAGAUUUCCCAACUUCGGUUAUAAGAUCCCUCAAAGAUGAUGAGGUUAAUAGGUUCGAGGUGGAAGCAUGGUGACAUGUGGAGCUGACGAAUACUAAUCGAUCGAAGACUUAAUCAA
rnacentral:rRNA from 1 species